GACGAACGCUGGCGGCGUGCUUAACACAUGCAAGUCGAACGCUGAUGGCCCAGCUUGCUGGGUUGGAUGAGUGGCGAACGGGUGAGUAACACGUGAGUAACCUGCCCUCUUCUUUGGGAUAACGGUCGGAAACGGCUGCUAAUACCGGGUAUUCACUGUCCUUCGCAUGGGGGGUGGUGGAAAGGUUUUUUCUGGUGGGGGAUGGGCUCGCGGCCUAUCAGCUUGUUGGUGGGGUGAUGGCUUACCAAGGCUUUGACGGGUAACCGGCCUGAGAGGGUGACCGGUCACAUUGGGACUGAGAUACGGCCCAGACUCCUACGGGAGGCAGCAGUGGGGAAUAUUGCACAAUGGGCGAAAGCCUGAUGCAGCGACGCCGCGUGAGGGAUGGAGGCCUUCGGGUUGUAAACCUCUUUCGCUCAUGGUCAAGCCGCAACAGUGGUUGUGGUGAGGGUAGUGGGUAAAGAAGCACCGGCUAACUACGUGCCAGCAGCCGCGGUAAUACGUAGGGUGCGAGCGUUGUCCGGAAUUAUUGGGCGUAAAGGGCUUGUAGGCGGUUUGUCGCGUCUGCCGUGAAAUCCUCUGGCUUAACUGGGGGCGUGCGGUGGGUACGGGCAGGCUUGAGUGCGGUAGGGGAGACUGGAACUCCUGGUGUAGCGGUGGAAUGCGCAGAUAUCAGGAAGAACACCGGUGGCGAAGGCGGGUCUCUGGGCCGUUACUGACGCUGAGGAGCGAAAGCGUGGGGAGCGAACAGG
rnacentral:rRNA from 1 species